AACUUUUAUAAAAUGUUUUUAUAAAAGUUCACUCAUUUGACGUAUUAUGAAACAAACCAUUCUAAAUAUUCAAAUAAAUGAGGAAGGAAACUAAGUGAAUCUGCCCCAAGUUUCCAUUUCAAUGCAAACAAGACACAAGACAAGAGCUCACUGGAAAAAAGGGGUGAUGCAGCUAUGCUGAUUAGGAAAAGAACAUUUUCCGCAGCAGCAACUCUCAUGCUGAUGUUGUCAGGAGUGCUGGCCAAUCCCAGUGUAACACUUCACUUACAAAGUCUCUGUGCUGUUACUGGAUCUACAGUAAAAAUACCGUGUUCAUAUUCAAAGGCAUAUUCUGUGAAACAGAAACAGUGGUAUCGAGCCCAGAGGUUUAAAGGACUACCACAAGACCUGAGAAAAGAUCCAGAAUACUCAGGACGAGUGUUUGUAAACACCUGGUGGUCUGACUGUGAACUAACAGUGAAGAAUGUGAGAGUGAGUGACUCUGGAGUUUAUAACUUUAGAAUUAAAACACAAAGCAGCUGGAUAUCAGCCUCAUCUGGAGUUCAACUGACUGUUACAGGCCUGAAGGUUACAGUAUCAGGCCAGUACAACUGGAAGAGGCUGAGCUGUGCCACCACCUGCAAUCUUUCUAACAAACCCAUUUAUAUCUGGUACAAGAAUGGACAGCGUGUUAGUGAACAGUACAUAAAUGAACUGGAUGUCAGUAGUUGGGAAGCAGGCAGCUACUCCUGUGCUGUAAAAGGACAUGAGGAGCUUCGCUCUCCUGCUGUCUGUGUUUUUGAUAAGAGCUGCUGGAGUGUGACUUACUCCACCCAGACUAUCUGCUCUCUGAUUGGCUCAUCAGUAGACAUACACAGUUAUUACACCUUUCCUAAUAAUUACCAGGUCACAAAAGUAGAGUGGUUCAUUAAUGAACUUGAGGAUGUGAGAGAGGAUGUAGAGUAUCAGGAUCGAGUGCAGUACACAAACAGCUCCCAGAAUGACUGUAGUCUGAGAAUCACUGACCUGAGAGAGAGAGACGCUCAAACAUACAGGUUCAGAUUCCACACUGAUCGAGUCACACACACUGGUGAAUCAGGUGUCACUCUGUCUGUCACAGGCCUGAAGGUUACAGUAUCAGGCCAGUACAACUGGAAGAAGCUGAGCUGUGCCACCACCUGCAGUCUUUCUAACAAACCCAUUUAUAUCUGGUACAAGAAUGGACAGCGUGUUAGUGAACAGUACAUAAAUGAACUGGGUGUCAGUAGUUGGGAAGCAGGCAGCUACUCCUGUGCUGUAAAAGGACAUGAGGAGCUUCGCUCUCCUGCUGUCUGUGUUUUUGAUAAGAGCUGCUGGAGUGUGACUUACUCCACCCAGACUAUCUGCUCUCUGAUUGGCUCAUCAGUAGACAUACACAGUUAUUACACCUUUCCUAAUAAUUACCAGGUCACAAAAGUAGAGUGGUUCAUUAAUGAACUUGAGGAUGUGAGAGAGGAUGAAGAGUAUCAGGGUCGAGUGCAGUACACAAACAGCUCCCAGAAUGACUGUAGUCUGAGAAUCACUGACCUGAGAGAGAGAGACGCUCAAACAUACAGGUUCAGAUUCCACACUGAUCGAGUCACACACACUGGUGAAUCAGGUGUCACUCUGUCUGUCACAGGCCUGAAGGUUACAGUAUCAGGCCAGUACAACUGGAAGAAGCUGAGCUGUGCCACCACCUGCAGUCUUUCUAACAAACCCAUUUAUAUCUGGUACAAGAAUGGACAGCGUGUUAGUGAACAGUACAUAAAUGAACUGGAUGUCAGUAGUUGGGAAGCAGGCAGCUACUCCUGUGCUGUAAAAGGACAUGAGGAGCUUCGCUCUCCUGCUGUCUGUGUUUUUGAUAAGAGCUGCUGGAGUGUGACUUACUCCACCCAGACUGUCUGCUCUCUGAUUGGCUCAUCAGUGGACAUACACAGUUAUUACACCUUUCCUAAUAAUUACCAGGUCACAAAAGUAGUGUGGUUCAUUAAUGAACUUGAGGAUGUGAGAGAGGAUGUAGAGUAUCAGGGUCGAGUGCAGUACACAAACAGCUCCCAGAAUGACUGUAGUCUGAGAAUCACUGACCUGAGAGAGAGAGACGCUCAAACAUACAGGUUCAAAUUCUACACUGAUCGAGUCACACACACUGGUGAAUCAGGUGUCACUCUGUCUGUCACAGGUCUGCAGGUUACAGUAUCAGACUGGUACAAUGGAUACAAGAAGCUGAACUGCAUCACCACCUGCACUCUGUCUAACAACCCCACUUACAUCUGGUACAAGAAUGGACAGCGUGUUACUGACCAGUACAGAAAUGAACUAUAUUUCCUAAGUAACGAUGCAGGCAGCUACUCCUGUGCUGUAAGAGGACAUGAGGCGCUUCAUUCUCCUGCUGUCUAUUCCCCUAAAAACACCAGUGCAGUGGUUCUUCCCUCUGGAGACACAGUGGAGGGGGAUUCAGUGACUCUGAGCUGUAGCAGUGAUGCAAAUCCUCCUGUUCUCACCUACUCCUGGUUUAAGAAGAGUGCAGCUGCAGACACACGGCUGACAACAGGCCAGGAUUACAGCAUCAGCAACAUCAGCUCACAGGACAGUGGACUGUACUACUGCACUGCUGACAACCAGCUGGGACACCACACCUCUACACCAGUACACUUGGAUGUGUUAUAUCCCCCUAAAAACACCAGAGCAGUGGUUCUUUCCUCUGGAGACAUAUUGGAGGGGGCUUCAGUGACUCUGAGCUGUAGCAGUGAUGCAAACCCUCCUGUUCUCACCUACUCCUGGUUUAAGCAGAGUGCAGCUGCAGACACAAUGCUGACAACAGGCCAGGAUUACAGCAUCAGCAACAUCAGCUCACAGGACAGCGGAUUGUACUACUGCACUGCUUGCAACAAGCCAGGACACCACAACUCUACACCAGUACACUUGGAUGUGUUAUACCCGCCACGAAACCUAUCUGUGACCGUCAUUUCAUCCAUGUCUGGUGAUAUGGGCACACUGUUGUGCAGAAGUGACUCCAACCCCAACAGCUCUUACACUUGGUACAGGAAAACAAAAGGGGGUGUCAUAUUAGUUGGAAAUGGUACCAAUUUAACUUUAUCCUCAAGAGAAAAUGGAUUUCACUACUGUACAGCAAAGAAUGGCUUUGGAUCAUCCAGUUCAUCAGAAUGGGCAUAUACAUCAGGUAGCAGAACCAUGAAAUAUGUGGCCUCUGGAUUCACUCUUGCAUUGGUUUUGUCAUUUAUUGCUGUCAUUCUAUGGAUGAGAUAAGAUUGAAAUCUGGGGAAUCUGAAGGCCAAGUCAGCAACUUUUUUUAUGUUCCUCAAAUCACUCCUGAACAAGGGCUCCUUAUCCUGCUGAAAGAGGCCGCUGAGAUUAGGAAAUACCGUGCCAUGAAGGGUUGUACUUGGUGUGCAACAAUGUUUAGGUAGGUGGUAUGUGUCAAAAUAACCCCCACAUGAAUGUCAGAACCUAAGAACAUUUCCCAGAGCAUCACAGUGGCUUGCCUUCUUUCCCAUAGUGCAUCUUGGUGUUAUCUUUUCCCCAAGUAAGCAACACACACAAACAAGCAUCUACAUAAUGUAACAAAAAAUGUGAUUUCUCAGUGUGGAUAUGCCACUUUUUAGCCAGGCCACUGCAUAACACUUUGUUUGGUCGCAACAAGAUCACAACCCAGAAGACUGCAUGCAAACCUAAAAAAACAACAGAUAGGUAAUACCAAAAAAAAAAAAUAAUAAUAAUCAAACAGCAACAAUUUGUGUAUAUGUGUGUUGUGACACUUGCUAGCAGCAAGGUGAACAUGGAGAGUCAGGGAUUCAGGGAAAAUAGUGCACUUUAAUUGAAAACAAGGUGAAACAAAAGGAAAAGAAAAGGUGUCACUCUGUGGAAGAUGCAGGUGAGGGGUCUUCAGUGCAGAGUGGGUGAAGCGGCUGGGCAGUGAAUCAGCAAGGCAGACCCUAGGGGGCUUAAGCUUGGCAGGUUGGAGAGCAUUGUCCUCUUCACAGCAUAGUCUUUGAAAUACAAACAGGCAGAGAGAGUGUGUUGCAUUAGGCAUCACCCAGGACUCAACUCUUACCUUGGUAACCAUACCUGUAAAUAUCUCCUCACCCCUCUCCAGGCCACAAACUGCCCAGGUACUGAGACAGGUAGUUAGCUACUACAUUUUGGGUCCCUGGACGAUGUUUAACCUUGAAGUUAUACAGCUGCAGGGAGAGAAACCAUCUGGUCACCUGAGAGUUAUCUUGGAUCCAUGUCAGGGCUCGGUGAUAUGUCUCCAACAUAAAUUCCUUUCCCAAAAGGUAAUACCUUAAGCUUUCCAGAGACAAUUUGAUUGCCAAGCCUUCCUUCUCCACUGUGUAGUACCGGGUUUCCCUUAGCAGCAGUUUCCUACUCAGACAUGCAAUUGACCUUUCACUGCUAGCAUCUCUUUGGGUCAGGACUACUCCAUUCCCCACAGCAGAAGCAUCCACUUGGACAAUGAACCUUUUUAUAAACUCUGGACCCUUCAGGGCAGGGCUAGCAAACAUCAUCUCUUUAAGUGUGUGGAAAGCUACUUCACAGUCAGUCUGUUGUAUUAGGUUCUUUACAGACUUACUCAGCAAGUUGGUCAAUGGGGCUGCUGUGGUGAAAAACCUUGGAAUAAACUGUCAAUACCAUCCCACCAGCCCCAAAAAGGAUCUGACCUCCUUCCUUGUCCUUGGUCUUGGGCUGUGUCAUAUGGCCUCUACCUUGUACACUUGCAGUCUUAAUUCUCCUUUACCCAAGAGAUAACAAAGGUAGUCCAUCUCUGACUUUUUGCACACACACUUUGCCAAGUUCAGGGUCAGGCCAGCCUCUUGAAUCCUCCCCAGAGUUUGCUCUAUAUGGUUUAGGUGGUCUGAGGUGUGCUUUUCACAGAUGAGUGCAGGUUCACCCUGAGCACAUGUGACAGACAUGACAGGGUCUGAAGAAGCCAUGAAGAACAUUAUGCUACCUGUAACAUUGUUCAGCAUGACCGGUUUGAUGGUGGGUCAGUAAUUGUCUGGGGAGGCAUAUCCAUGGAGCAACGCACAGACCUCUACAGGCUAGGCACCCUGACUGCGAUUAGGUAUCAGAAUGAAAUCCUUGGACCCACUGUUAGACCCUACACUGGUGCAGUGGGUCCUGGGUUCCUCCUGGUGCACGACAAUGCCCAGCCUCAUGUGGCGAGAAUAUGCAGGCAGUUCCUGGAGGAUGGAUGAAUUGAUACCAUUGAAUGGACCACACGCUCGCCUGACCUAAAUGCAAUCGAACACAAUAGGACAUUAUAUUUUGGUCCAUCCGACACUGCCAGGUUGCACCUCAGACUGUCCAGGAGCUCAGUGAUGCCCUGGUCCAGAUCUGAAAGGAAAUACCCCAGGACACCAUCUGUCGUCUCAUUAGGAGCAUGCCCCGACAUUGUCAGGCAUGCAUACAAGCUCAUGGGGCCCAUACAAACUACUGAGUAGCAUUUUGAGUUGCUGCAAAGAAAUUUCAGCAAAAUGGAAUAGGCUGCUGCAUCAUUUUUCACUUUGAUUUUCGGGGUGUCUUUGCAUUCAGCCCUCUGUAGGUUGAUAAUUUUCAUUUCCUUCAAAUGAUCAUUUGACACAUUACCUAGUCCCAGUGGCGGGCCAUGCAUUUUACACCUAGGCCUUCACUGGUGUCCUUCCUGAAUUAAUCCACCUCUAUACCUUCAUUAUGAUGCCAUGGCAAUAGAUACUAAUCAACCGUUAAAUAGCAAAGUAAAAAAGAAAUUAGUCUACAGUAUUUCACACCUCACAAGAAGUAGUCAAUUUUAUUACGGUUACUUUUCUCAAAAAAGACAUUCUUGAUGCCGUAUGCAGCAAACUGCAAUCUCCGGAGGAUGCAGCAUCCGAAAUGAGAUGCAGUGAAUAUAGAAACAAUGUCUAUGUGUGGUUCGCUGCCUCUGACUACUCCAACUAUCCAAUCAAAGGACAGGAAAUUGCUGACGUAAUCGUAUGCCUGCUAGAUGGCCCCAGUGACGCCAACUUGAAAUCUGAUGUAACAAUUUCAUUGCCACUUUUUUUACGGGCGCCUGCACUUGUUCCAGAGGGUGCUGGCAGGUGAUUCUAUGAAGCCUGCUUUAUUGUGUGUAUUUUGUGCCACGCCUUUCCUAUUGUUCUCGUUCCCGCUGUUUCACCUGUUCCCUAUUAGCCUUAAUGUUUAGCCCUAUAAAUAGGGAUCCUUUUGUACCUGUCCUUGUCGGCUAUUGUUCUAUAUUCCUUGUUUUGUUUUAUUGGCGUCAUGUCUAGUGUUUAGGUUAGUCUGGGUCUGUCUCCAUGGCAUGCCGGCAUGUGCAGCUACCACGGAGAUCUGGGUUCGAGCCCCGGGCAGGGUGGGGGCGCCCAGCUAUUACAGCACUAUUGAUUCUGAAGGCAAAUUUCUUUCACCCUGGCAACACAUGAUGUCAGCCACUGGCUGAAAUAUGAUUGGAUAAAUACUUUUAUCAUAAAUAUACACUACUGGAAGCAGCGCAACCGAGAGAACAGCUAUGAAAUGUAGAGAAUAGACUAUUGGGAAUAAUAUUAUACACAUUCAUGUAAAAAUAUAUUAAAUAUAUUAAAAUGCAAAUCAGUGAUUCAGAUCACUGCUGUUUAGGCCAGCAGAGAAGGCCUUGCUCGCCCUGACAGCCCACCACUGCCCAGUCCAUAUCAGUAUAAAUAUCCAGCACGAUAUUUUUCCCCAUUGACAUCUGAUGUGUUUUCAAAGUGUUUCUUUCAUUUUUUUAAACAGUGUAUAUUACGUCCCUUGACAGGUGCUAUUGCAACAAUAUGAUCACCUGAUCUGUAAAUAUCUACUGCAUAGAGCCCCCACCCCCACCCCCCCACACACACAUCAGGGGAUUAUAGCCAUUCAUGUAGAAUAAAAACUAAUUCAUUUCACAUUGCAAGUGUAGCUGGUGACCUUGUUUUUAUGACACAUAUUCCAACAGGAAAAGAGCACCGGUGCUCAGAACCAGGAGUGAGGAGUACAGCAAGAAUGACUCUGCUCCUGUAUACAGUAACGUCUCAGCCAUGACCUCUGACCCCACACAAACAGCCUCCUCAGAAGAUCAGGACACGGUUCAGUACUCCAGCGUUU